GCGGGUAUAGCUCAGUGGUAGAGCACAUGCUUAGCAUGCACAAGGUCCUGGGUUCAACCCCCAGUAUCUCCA
rnacentral:tRNA from 1 species